rnacentral:lncRNA from 1 species
AAAAAUAUAAAAUUAAAUUUUAGAGAAAAGAAUUACAACGAUUCGAGAGAAAUAAAAAUUUUAUUUGAUGACGAUUUAUAAUUUUUUAACAAAAUAUUAUUGAAAAGCUUCUCAGUGAAGUUUUUUCCUCUCAAAACUAAGUCUAUGUCUUAAAGUAACGUUUGGUUCGGGUAUAAGCAAGAACUAGUUAUUACAGAAAUAGGUACAAGUAUGAGGAUAAAAAAAAUAGUGUUUGGAUGAAAAUUGGAUUGUUCCCAGAAAUAAGAAUAAUUUUAUGUAAUUUUAUAUAGAAAAUGAAGGUGUCGAUGGGAAUAAUCGAGAACUAAGUAAAAAAGUAAAGAAAGAUUUUUGAUCAACAUUGAAAAAGACAUAAAGAAAAUGAUACAAAAGGGCAAAUUCCUUGGGCCCUUGCAUUUACAAAAUGUUUGCAUUCCUCACGUGUGAACCAACGUCCAAAUUUGCCCCACUCUCUGGCAGGCGGAAAAUUUUAGAAUGCACCUGAUAUAUUGGUGACGUAGCGUAAAAAAUCAAUCAAAUAUUUCUUUUUAAAAAUAAAUGUCCCAUUAUGAUUAUAAAAAAUAUUUUUAUUAUAUUUUUAUUUGAAAAAUAGAUAUGUGAUUGGCUUGUUAUUAAUGACAUGGUGUAAGUGUUACAGUGUAGAAUUUCUCCUGGCCUGCUCUCUCCCUAUAAAAAUGAACACUCGAUAAAUAGGAUCUAUAUUUUGUAUU